UACGGGGGGGGCAAGCGUUGUUCGGAAUUUCUGGGCGUAAAGGGCUCGUAGGCGGCCAACUAAGUCAUACGUGAAAUCCCUCGGCUUAACCGGGGAACUGCGUCUGAUACUGGAUGGCUUGAGAUUGGGAGAGGGAUGCGGAAUUCCAGGUGUAGCGGUGAAAUGCGUAGAUAUCUGGAGGAACACCGGUGGCGAAGGCGGCAUCCUGGACCAACACUGACGCUGAGGAGCGAAAGCCAGGGGAGCAAACGGG
rnacentral:rRNA from 1 species